GGCGCUCAUCCAACGAUGGCACGCUGAUGCCCUCUUUUUCUAUUAAAAAUCUCAGCAAUUAAACAAAAUCGGUCGGCCAUGUCUUUUAAUGACCGUGUCUCUUAAUUAAACGCAGGAAAAGACCAGCCGCUCGUUUCGUCUCCUCUCUUAUCCACUCACUUUCCCCACAGGCAAAGAAGUAGCUCCUCCAUGGCCGGCGAACACCGCGAUGUUGAUCUGCUUGCUUGUCAGAGCAGGAGGGUUUGCUCCGUGCUCGUCCUAACGCGGCGCUCGUGAGCGAACUGCGCACCAACCCUGCGGCCACGACGUCCCUCGCCCCGCGCGGCGCUCGUAAGCAAGCUGCGCGCCGUUCCUGAGGCCGCACCCUCCGUCGCCCGGCGCGGCGCUCGUCGGCGAGCUGCGCGCCGUUCGUGAGGCCGCAGCCUCCGUCGCCCGGCGCUUCGCUCGUUGUCGAUCUGCGCGCCAUUCCUGAGGUCGCAGCCUCCUGUCACCGGGUGCGGCGCUCGUCGGCGAGCUGCGCGCCGUUCCUUCUCGGCGGUUAUCUUCGUGGCCCUGUUUGUCCCGUUUGUCGCGCCUCAGCUACUGAGCUUCGUCCAGCACGUAUCAUAACAUGGCUGCGAAGACUUGCCGUGGUUGAAGGAUUGGCGAGGUUUGCCUGCUCCCCGAAAAUGCUCCCAUCCGUGCUUCGUGGAAAAGACCAGCCGCUCGUUUCGUCUCCUCUCUUAUCCACUCACUUUCCCCACAGGCAAAGAAGUAGCUCCUCCAUGGCCGGCGAACACCGCGAUGUUGAUCUGCUUGCUUGUCAGAGCAGGAGGGUUUGCUCCGUGCUCGUCCUAACGCGGCGCUCGUGAGCGAACUGCGCACCAACCCUGCGGCCACGACGUCCCUCGCCCCGCGCGGCGCUCGUAAGCAAGCUGCGCGCCGUUCCUGAGGCCGCACCCUCCGUCGCCCGGCGCGGCGCUCGUCGGCGAGCUGCGCGCCGUUCGUGAGGCCGCAGCCUCCGUCGCCCGGCGCUUCGCUCGUUGUCGAUCUGCGCGCCAUUCCUGAGGUCGCAGCCUCCUGUCACCGGGUGCGGCGCUCGUCGGCGAGCUGCGCGCCGUUCCUUCUCGGCGGUUAUCUUCGUGGCCCUGUUUGUCCCGUUUGUCGCGCCUCAGCUACUGAGCUUCGUCCAGCACGUAUCAUAACAUGGCUGCGAAGACUUGCCGUGGUUGAAGGUACGUCGUCCAAUUACUCAAGUAUAUGACCGCUGUUCUUCUAAUUUCUGAACCAAAUGCUAUUUUUGUCCGUGUGAGGUCGGUGAGAUGCAAGCAACUAUGCUUUUGGACAAGAACUGUGCUUUUGGUCUGACUUGAUUAAGCUACGCAUGUCAAUGAACUAAUAUACAUACGCCUUCUUAAAUCUAUGCUUUUGGACAGCAAGUAUGCAUUGGUCUCACUUAAUUAAGUAGUGCAUUCGAUCGAUAUGCACAGACUCCCCAUAAAUCCAAUAAUAUAUUACAAGUUUAUAGUGAAGUAGAAAAAAAAACAUGAGUCUCUGAUAACGAUGACAGAUUAAGUUGGCUUUUGUUGUUGGAAGAAGACUUGAUUUUGACCUGUCAUUGUACCAACGGAUGGCUACAGUGGGGCAUUUGAUGCUGGGUGUCUUAUCAUCAUACUAAGGGCCAGUUCUUUUCGGCGAUUCUCCCAGAAUCGCCCCCCUCUGCAGCUUCUCCUAGAAUCGCCACCCCAUACUUUUUUUACAAUCCUAUCUAGUUAAGGUCUAAUUAGCUAGGAUUGUAAAAAAACAUAUGGAAUGGUGAUUCUACGAGAAGCUGGGGAGGGGGGCGAUUCUAGUAGAAUCGCCCAAAAGAACUGACCCUAAUGGGGUGCUGUAGUGAGGCAUUCGGAGUUAGGUGUCCUGUCAUCGUACCAACGGAUGGCUGCAGUGAUGCAUUUGGAGCUUGGUUCAUCGUACCAAUGGACGACUGCAGCGAGGCAUUCAGAGUUGGGUGUCCUCUCAUUGUACCAACAGUUGGUUGCAACGAGACAUUUGGAGCUGGGUGUCUUCUCAUCGUAACAAGAGACGGCAAUAGCGAGGCAUCCAGAGCUGAGUUGCAUUGUUCUGAAUAGGUAUACACGUGAUUUGUCGGAACUCCCAAAUUACCCUGUGAGUAGUAGUACCAAAGGUUAGUGUCCAUAAAUCUUUAAAAUGAUAAAACUGAAAUCUGAGUGUAGGUAGCUUAUACCAUUAAGCUAUUGUAAUGUUGCAAUUCAGCUGGCAAUCUUUGGUCUUGUCCAUACAUCGCCAUAGGAUUUAGGAUUGGGUUGUACUGUGGUAGAUAUGCAGGCAUUUGAUUCGUAAAAACCUCCGAAUGACCCUAUAAAACAUGGUGUGAUAAAUCUUGUAUAACUUAAGUUUUUAUGUCAGAUCAAGUGUGAAUUUAUUUAUACCAUUGAGCUGCCAUGAGGUUGUAGUGCUACAGGAUUAUCUACUUUCCUUUUCCUCUUUGAUUUUGCUUUCUCUAAGCCACCAAUAGGUCUACUUGCUCCUUGAAUAGUCUUCUCCUUCAACUUGAUACCUUUUGGCUUAGCAAGCCCCUUAUUUUGUUUUGAACUUGUACAUGAGUUAAUGUUUCGUUCUGCAAAUAUAUAUUUAAAUAAAAUUCAAGUUUGAUAACAUUAUAAAACUACACACCCAUAUUAGUGGGUCUACUUGACCCUCGAACAGUCUUCUUUUUAACCUUGUUACCUGUUGGAUUGGCAAAUCCCUCAUUUUGUUCUGAACCUGUAGACGAGUUAAUGUUCGGGUCUGUAACUAUAAAAGCAAACAUAGGUUAGUUUGAUGAGAUCAUAAAACUAAACUUACAGACCUUGUGCCAAGGGAGUUACAUAUAUCUGGAUGUCUGUUUGAUCCUCGAGCCGUCUUCUCCUUGACCUUCAUUCCUUUUGGCUUGGUAGGCCUCUCAUUUUGUUCUGAACUUGUAGUCGUGAUAUUGUUUGAGUCUGCAACUAUAAAAGUAAAUAUAAAUUUAAGCUUGAUGAGAGCAUAAAACUGAAUGUACAUACCUUGUGAACAAACAGAGUUACCUGUAUCUGGAUCAGAUCUAUGUUUUAGACAUUUCUCCACCUCUUCUGCUAAUUUCUCUGCAUAAUUAGCAGCCAUCAAGUAUGACUCUUCAGACUCUGCGGCUCAGCAGCUAUUUGGAUAAACAUUCUGCACAACUCUUUAUAGCGUUUUGUCAGUAUUGUUUUGCGGUCUUCAUGCAGGUUGCAGUUGCUUGUUAUAUCCAAAACUUUUGCAUCAAUUGUCCAUCUUUUCAAGAUGUACUGUUGAGGGAUGUGCUUGAUAUUAUUAAUGUCAAGUACCUUCAAGGAAUGAGAGCAAAGAAUUCCAGCAAAUUUAAACUUCUUGCAACUGCAAUUGACCUUUUCUUCUUUUGGAAAAAAUUUAACAACAUGAUCACGCUCUGUACCAGGAAAUUUUACUUUGUAAACCUUCUCCUCGGUGUCACUGUCAUCACAAAGGAAUGUAUCAUAGUUUAAGGUCCGAAGCACUUGUUCCUGAAACAUCUUGAAUAUUGGUGGAGUAUAUGUAACACCCCCAGUGUCAUGCUACAGUAACCCUCUGUGAUUAAGCUAACCAUUUAUCCAAACA